AUUCCAGUUCCUGGGGGAGCACGUUAGCUGCAAGGACAGGGUGUGGUUUCUCUGUCUGCUUGGGGCACCUUCCAGGAAAAAGGCAGUGCGGUUCUUGGCCGGAAAAGUAAAGCUUCCCAGAACUGUAAAGGCAACCGCAGUCAUUCUGAAAUACACAAUGGAUUCUGCUUUCUGCUGGAAACACAUACUUUGGGAUGAAAUCUCACCAGGCGAGAGAUGGGCUCCAACCGCAAGGGAUGGACGAGCUGAGAGAUUGCGGCUCAGACUCUGGGUCUCGCUGUCUGCUGGGCUGGGCACAUCCCCUGCCCCGUGCCCUCCCGUGUAGGCACAGGAGCGAGCCUGCUGAGGGUCAGUGGGGAAUGGGGUACAGUCGAUCUAAAAGCAAGUUUCUUUAUAUACGAAGACGGACAUGUGAGAAAGGAUUCUGUGUGCUCAAAGUGAAUCAAGUCCCACCUAAACAGAAGCUCGGGAGAUACGAAUGUCUCGGGGAGGCAUUUGGUCCAGCUGAUGGCUGCUGCUGCUGCUGCUGCUGCUAAGUCGCUUCAGUCGUGUCUGACUCUGUGCAACCCCAUAGACGGCAGCCCACCAGGCUCCCCCGUCCCUGAGAUUCUCCAGGCAAGAACGCUGGAGUAGGUUGCCAUUUCCUUCUCCAAUGCAUGAAAGGGAAAGUGAAAGUGAAGUUGCUCAGUCGUGUCCGACUCUUAGCGACCCCUUGGACUGCAGCCCACCAGGCUCCUCCUCCAUCCACGGGAUUUUCCAGGUGAAAGUACUGGAGUGGGGUGCCAUUGCCUUCUCCUAAUGAUGGCUGGGCCACAGCAAACAAGUCGAUGGAGGAAGAAUACUUGGUGUAGAGUGACGGUGAAACAAACUUGGCAAUGACGGACCUUACGACAGUAGCCACCUGCUGGACAUUUCCUGUGGCUGAGAACUUUUCGAGUGGUCAUCAGCCAUCAGUCCCCACUUCUACCUUAUGCCGGGGGCCCAUCCACAUCCAGACCUGACUGAUCUGUCCUCUCUUCCUGCCUCAGCUGCCCAUUCCUCUGUCCAGCCACUCGGCUUUUGUCCAUUAAAUUAUUUGUGUAACUUUUUCAUGAGUCAUAACACCCCUGAGGCAAGUUGCCUGUGCUGGCAGUUCAUUUAUUAGAGUUGACUAGAGUUUAUAAGAGUUGUGCCGAUUUCAUGUGUAUUUUGGAAUGAUUUUGAACCAUUUUGUAGAAUCUCAUCUCCAAAUAAGCCACAUGAAAUUUUGAACGAGACCAUGUUGGAUGUGUUUUAUACACUUUAAUGAAAUCUUUAAAAAACCUUCAAAAGAUCUUGUGUGUUCUUUGUUGGACUAGUUUAUCUAAAAUGGGUUGUCAUUUUAGUAAAUUAUACUUCUUUUUAGGAUCAACAUUGUAGUUGGCUAUUGCUCCCACUGAGGCCCACAGCUAAGUGACGCUAAGUUGACCUUGCAUCUGAGAAGCCU
ensembl:lncRNA